CAAGCCUGUACCCUGCACUGACAGCAUAAGGAUGACUAGAGAAAGCCUAGUUGGUAUGGUGUUGUGAAGAUCAUAUUCAGACCCAGUUGAUGAUGGAUGAUGUAGAGCUCACAGCCCGGACAAACAGACCCACUGCACCUUGUUGAGCUCAUCCUCCAGAACACAAGUGUCCAGGCCCAGCUUGGCGAAGCUGCCUUCCUUCACCGUCUUGAUGACACCGUAAAUCUCAGUGUAGUCUACGGUGGACAGCUGGGAGAAGUUCACGUGUGGCAGAAUGAGGUCAUGACUCAGCACGUUAGAGUUCAGGCAGCCAAUGAUCUUCUCUGCAUUUCUGAAGGGACCACCGCGAAUCAUGUUAGUGCACAAGAUGAAACGUACUGCAAAAGUCCUGACGCUGAUCACAGAGAGGGCACGAUAAUAAAUGUAUGGUGUGAGCAAAGAGUGGUUUCAUUCUGGAUUAGACAUCAUACAUUUCCUCCACUAUCACUAGGGGAGAAGAGGCUGGAGAAGGUGAUGACUCCCCCGAAGCAGGCCAAGGGCAGAAAACACCUGUGUGGCUGCCUCUCUCCACACCUGGGGCUCCAGCAUCUUCUCCAGCUUGAACACACUAGAACACACUGAUGGACUGGUUGGGGCCUGUGCUCCCAUCUGUCCUGAGCUGCCAGAGUCUCCAGUCUGUCCUGAGCUGCCA